CGAGCGGAACGAUGGAAGCUUGCUUCCAGGCGUCGAGCGGCGGACGGGUGAGUAAUGCAUAGGAAUCUGCCCGAUAGUGGGGGAUAACCUGGGGAAACCCAGGCUAAUACCGCAUACGUCCUACGGGAGAAAGCAGGGGAUCUUCGGACCUUGCGCUAUCGGAUGAGCCUAUGUCGGAUUAGCUAGUUGGUGAGGUAAUGGCUCACCAAGGCCGCGAUCCGUAGCUGGUCUGAGAGGAUGAUCAGCCACAUCGGGACUGAGACACGGCCCGAACUCCUACGGGAGGCAGCAGUGGGGAAUAUUGGACAAUGGGCGAAAGCCUGAUCCAGCCAUGCCGCGUGUGUGAAGAAGGCUUUCGGGUUGUAAAGCACUUUCAGUGGGGAAGAAAUCCUCGGGGCCAAUACCCUCGAGGGAGGACAUCACCCACAGAAGAAGCACCGGCUAACUCCGUGCCAGCAGCCGCGGUAAUACGGAGGGUGCGAGCGUUAAUCGGAAUUACUGGGCGUAAAGCGCGCGUAGGCGGCGUGAUAAGCCGGUUGUGAAAGCCCCGGGCUCAACCUGGGAACGGCAUCCGGAACUGUCAGGCUAGAGUGCAGGAGAGGAAGGUAGAAUUCCCGGUGUAGCGGUGAAAUGCGUAGAGAUCGGGAGGAAUACCAGUGGCGAAGGCGGCCUUCUGGACUGACACUGACGCUGAGGUGCGAAAGCGUGGGUAGCAAACAGGAUUAGAUACCCUGGUAGUCCACGCCGUAAACGAUGUCGACUAGCCGUUGGGGUCCUUGUGACCUU
rnacentral:rRNA from 1 species